rnacentral:lncRNA from 10 species
AGAGUGCCUCACCAUGGAGUGCAGGUGGGUUGGAGCACAGAUGAAGCCCCGGUCCAACCUGGGCAUUCCUGCAGCCAUGUGCAGUGACCCUUGUGUAUGUGAGUACCUGUCAUGUGCCCACGUAUCCUGGUGGCACAAAAGGUACUUCAUGUAGAUUGUCAGGACCAAGACACAGAACGUUCUUGGGGCACACCACAAUAAUUCCCCCACUAGCAUUCACCUUAAGAUGAAAGAAUUUUUUUCUAGUUGAUGUGGAUUCCCCAGAUUUAUCUCAUUUCAUGAUGUCUUCGGAAUUGCAUGUUGUGCCACCAUCACACUUCACACUCUCAGUAAGGAGCUCUCAGUUGUCUCACCUGUUAUUGCUCCUCUUUAUUGUAAACGAUGUCCUAUAAAGAAGAUAUAUGUCUACAAUUGAGCUUUGAAGGAGGACCAUGGAGCCAGUUCCUUUUAAGGGGAAUGAAGUCAAGCAGUAAAUUUGCUGGUCACUCUUUUCAUAUGGACCGCAUCUCAGCCAGCAGUUGGUCUUUGAUGUUGUAACAAUGGCACUGGGACCUGAGGCAGAGGAGCACCCCCAUAAUACUGAAACCAGCCUGCAUUCAUUCUAAUUUGGAGAACAAUCUGUGGGAUAGUACGCACAUCAGGGAGCCCAGAGAGUGAACUCCAGGGCUGUGGGUAAUCUUUCCCAGUGAAAAUCAGCCAUCUCUUCUACACCAUGUACCCUGCCUGCUGCAUUCUUUACUCUUUUAUUAAAAUUGAAGUAUGAUAUUCCUACAGAAAUAUACACAUAUAUAACUCUACAACUCAAUGAGAUUUCACAAACUGAAGACACCUAGGCAACCAAUGCCUAGAUCAAGAGGCAAAACAUUACCAGCACCCUAGCUGCCCUCCUUGGACUCCCUUUUCAUCACUUCCCUGACAAAGGUAACUCUCUUCCAACAGCACAGGUUCCUUUUUCCUGGUUUUGAACUUUACCUAAACAGAAUUAUCCAGCAUGUACUUUACUGUGCCUGGUUUCCUUCACUCAACAUUACAUUUGUGAAAUUGUG